rnacentral:rRNA from 1 species
GACGAACGCUGGCGGCGUGCUUAACACAUGCAAGUCGAACGGAAAGGCCCUGCUUUUGUGGGGUGCUCGAGUGGCGAACGGGUGAGUAACACGUGAGUAACCUGCCCUUGACUUUGGGAUAACUUCAGGAAACUGGGGCUAAUACCGGAUAGGAGCUCCUGCUGCAUGGUGGGGGUUGGAAAGUUUCGGCGGUUGGGGAUGGACUCGCGGCUUAUCAGCUUGUUGGUGGGGUAGUGGCUUACCAAGGCUUUGACGGGUAGCCGGCCUGAGAGGGUGACCGGCAACAUGGGAACUGAGAUACGGCCAAGACUCCUACGGGAGGCAGAGGGGGGGAAUAUUGCACAAUGGGCGGAAGCCUGAUGCAGCAACGCCGCGUGCGGGAGGACGGCCUUCGGGUGGUAAACCGCUUUCGCCUGUGACGAAGCGUGAGGGACGGUAAUGGGAAAAGAAGCACCGGCUAACUACGU